rnacentral:rRNA from 1 species
AAGCGGAGGAAAAGAAACCAACGGGGAUUCCCAUAGUAACUGCGAGUGAAAUGGGAAGAGCCCAGCGCUGAAUCCGAGUGUCGGCAACGGCACUUGGAGCUGUAGCGUGAAGGUGGUUCUAAUUCGUGCGGCUGGCUGGUGUAAGUUCUCCUGAGUGAGGCUCCAUGCCAUGGAGGGUGCAAGCCCCGUAUCGCCGGCAGCCUGUGCGAAUAUAAGACUACCAGAGAGUCGCCUUGUUUGCGAGUACAAGGUGAAGUCGGUGGUAAACGCCAUCGAAGGCUAAAUAUGACCACGAGUCCGAUAGCGAACAAGUACAGUGAUGGAAAAUUGAAAAGAACUUUGAAGAGAGAGUGAAACAGUGCGUGAAACCGCUCAGAGGCAAGCAGAUGGGGCCUCGAAGGCAGAGCAGCGAAUUCAAUUGGUAGUCCGUGAGGUUGUCGGGAUGUGAGAUUGCAAAACUCUGCCUGAUAGCAUGUAGCGGCUGCUGAUGCACUUUCGCUGUUCGUACGCCUCCGCCGUUAACGCUUAGCAUCCGCCUGGCUUGCAUUGUGGAGCCUAACUCUUUCGGGAGUUGGUGUCUCACGGUAGGCUUUGGCGCGUUUGUUCGUUAACCGGUCAAGUCGGCAUGUGCCAGCGUAAGCGUUGGGCUCAGCGCUCUGUUGUGGUGUGGUGGAUGACGGUCGCAAGACCGGCUCUGCCCUCCGUGAUGGACCCGUGAAGGCUUUCAACGUGGCACAUUGUAGAU